rnacentral:rRNA from 1 species
CCUUCGGGUUGUAAAGCUCUUUCGGCCGGAACGAAAUCGCGUACGUGAAUAACGUGCGUGGAUGACGGUACUGGAAGAAGAAGCACCGGCUAACUACGUGC